rnacentral:rRNA from 1 species
UACAGAGGGUGCAAGCGUUAAUCGGAAUUACUGGGCGUAAAGAGCACGUAGGUGGUUAGGUGAGUCAGAUGUGAAAUCCCCGGGCUUAACCUGGGAACUGCAUUUGAUACUGCCUGGCUAGAGUUUAGUAGAGGGAAGUGGAAUUCCACAUGUAGCGGUGAAAUGCGUAGAGAUGUGGAGGAACACCAGUGGCGAAGGCGGCUUCCUGGACUAAAACUGACACUGAGGUGCGAAAGCGUGGGUAGCAAACAGG